rnacentral:rRNA from 1 species
CGGGGUGGAUUAGUGGCGAACGGGUGAGUAACACGUGGGCAAUCUGCCCUUCACUCUGGGACAAGCCCUGGAAACGGGGUCUAAUACCGGAUACGAGUUCGGGAGGCAUCUCCUGGACUGGAAAGCUCCGGCGGUGAAGGAUGAGCCCGCGGCCUAUCAGCUUGUUGGUGGGGUAACGGCCCACCAAGGCGACGACGGGUAGCCGGCCUGAGAGGGCGACCGGCCACACUGGGACUGAGACACGGCCCAGACUCCUACGGGAGGCAGCAGUGGGGAAUAUUGCACAAUGGGCGAAAGCCUGAUGCAGCGACGCCGCGUGAGGGAUGACGGCCUUCGGGUUGUAAACCUCUUUCAGCAGGGAAGAAGCGAGAGUGACGGUACCUGCAGAAGAAGCGCCGGCUAACUACGUGCCAGCAGCCGCGGUAAUACGUAGGGCGCAAGCGUUGUCCGGAAUUAUUGGGCGUAAAGAGCUCGUAGGCGGCUUGUCACGUCGGGUGUGAAAGCCCGGGGCUUAACCCCGGGUCUGCAUCCGAUACGGGCAGGCUAGAGUGUGGUAGGGGAGAUCGGAAUUCCUGGUGUAGCGGUGAAAUGCGCAGAUAUCAGGAGGAACACCGGUGGCGAAGGCGGAUCUCUGGGCCAUUACUGACGCUGAGGAGCGAAAGCGUGGGGAGCGAACAGGAUUAGAUACCCUGGUAGUCCACGCCGUAAACGUUGGGAACUAGGUGUUGGCGACAUUCCACGUCGUCGGUGCCGCAGCUAACGCAUUAAGUUCCCCGCCUGGGGAGUACGGCCGCAAGGCUAAACUCAAAGGAAUUGACGGGGGCCCGCACAAGCAGCGGAGCAUGUGGCUUAAUUCGACGCAACGCGAAGAACCUUACCAAGGCUUGACAUAUACCGGAAACAUCCA